AGUAACGCGUAGAAAUCUACCUAGUAGUGGGGGAUAGCCCAGAGAAAUUUGGAUUAAUACCGCAUACGCCCUACGGGGGAAAGCGGGGGAUCUUCGGACCUCGUGCUAUUAGAUGAGUCUGCGUCGGAUUAGCUUGUUGGUGAGGUAAUGGCUCACCAAGGCGACGAUCCGUAGCUGGUCUGAGAGGAUGACCAGCCACACUGGAACUGAGACACGGUCCAGACUCCUACGGGAGGCAGCAGUGGGGAAUAUUGCACAAUGGGCGCAAGCCUGAUGCAGCCAUGCCGCGUGUGUGAAGAAGGCCUUAGGGUUGUAAAGCACUUUCAGCAGUGAGGAAAGGGGUGUCGUUAAUAGCGCCAUCCUGUGACGUUAACUGCAGAAGAAGGACCGGCUAACUCCGUG
rnacentral:rRNA from 1 species